rnacentral:rRNA from 1 species
UACGAAGGGGGCUAGCGUUGUUCGGAAUCACUGGGCGUAAAGCGCACGCAGGCGGAUCGUUAAGUCAGGAGUGAAAUGCCGAGGCUCAACCUCGGAACUGCCUUUGAUACUGGCGAUCUUAGAGUCCGGGAGAGGUGAGUGGAACUCCGAGUGUAGAGGUGAAAUUCGUAGAUAUUCGGAAGAACACCAGUGGCGAAGGCGGCUCACUGGCCCGAUACUGACGCUGAGGUGCGAAAGCGUGGGGAGCAAACAGG